GUGCUUGCCUCAGCAGCACAUAUACCGAAAUCAGGACAGGACAGAGAUGAUUAGCAUGGCCCCGGUGCGAGGAUGACACGCAAAUUUGUGAGACGUUUCAUAUUAGA